AGUGAACGCUGGCGGUAGGCCUAACACAUGCAAGUCGAACGGCAGCACAGUAAGAGCUUGCUCUUACGGGUGGCGAGUGGCGGACGGGUGAGGAAUACAUCGGAAUCUACUUUUUCGUGGGGGAUAACGUAGGGAAACUUACGCUAAUACCGCAUACGACCUACGGGUGAAAGCAGGGGAUCUUCGGACCUUGCGCGAUUGAAUGAGCCGAUGUCGGAUUAGCUAGUUGGCGGGGUAAAGGCCCACCAAGGCGACGAUCCGUAGCUGGUCUGAGAGGAUGAUCAGCCACACUGGAACUGAGACACGGUCCAGACUACUAAGGGAGGCAGCAGUGGGGAAUAUUGGACAAUGGGCGCAAGCCUGAUCCAGCCAUACCGCGUGGGUGGAGAAGGCCUUCGGGUUGUAAAGACCUUUUGUUGGGAAAGAAAAGCAGCAGGUUAAUACCCCGCUGUUCUGACGGUACCCAAAGAAUAAGCACCGGCUAACUUCGUG
rnacentral:rRNA from 1 species